AGCCUGAUGCAGCGACGCCGCGUGAGGGAUGACGGCCUUCGGGUUGUAAACCUCUUUCGCCAGGGACGAAGCGCACGUGACGGUACCUGGAGAAGAAGGAUCGGUCCACUACAUGCCCCCCGCCGCGGUAAUACGUACGGUCCUAGCGUUGUCCGGAAUUACUGGGCGUAAAGAGCUCGUAAGUGGUUUGUCGCGUUGGACGUGAAAACUCACAGCUCAACUGUGGGCGUGCAGGCGAUACGGGCAGACUGGAGUACAGCAGGGGAGACUGGAAUUCCUGGUGUAGCGGUGGAAUGCGCAGAUAUCAAGAGGAACACCGGUGGCGAACUCGGUUCUCUGGGCAGUAACUGACGCUGAGGAGCGAAAGCGUGGGGAGCGGAACAGGAUUAGAUGCCCUGGUACGUCCACGCCGUAUACGGUGGGUACUAGGUGUGGGUUUCCUUCCUUGGGAUCCGUGCCGUAGCUAACGCAUUAAGUACGCCGCCUGGGGGAGUACGGCCGCAAGGCUAAAACUCAGAGAAAUUGACGGGGGCCCGCACAAGCGUGCGGAGCAUGUGGAUUAAUUCGAUGCAACGCGUAAGAACCUUACCAGGGUUUGACAUGCAC
rnacentral:rRNA from 1 species